CCCGAUGGCCGAGCGACCGCAGUAGCAGCACGCCCCCGACUGCCUACUCCGACGCCUCCCCCUUCACGCCGCUCGGCCCACCCUACCGCACUGGUCGCUCGGCCCAGAACCAAUCCCCUCCACAUCUGCGCCUCCACUCUCCUCCAUCGACAGGUCCGCUAACCGCUCCUCCCAUCCUCCCAGGCUUGCCUCGACGCCGCCCCACAGCCGCGCUCCCACACCGUCCGCUGCAACACCUUGCCGUGCCUCACACUGGAGCCGCCGUCCCGCCCGCAACUCCUCGCCUUGUGGCGGCGCCCGGCACGCACGCCCUGCACCGGCGCCUCUCCGUCGUCCGACCGUCUCGCGAGGCCACGCGACUCGCGUGCUCGAGGGAGGCGAGGCGAAGUGGUCUUGGGUCUUUGAAGCCACUACGUGUUUACAGUUUCAGUCAUUGCACAUGGUACUAUUCAUUCACCCUGCACGAGAGCAGCCGAGGCUCGACAAACCCUCGGCAAGAAAAGACUUCCACCGAAAGGCAUGAACAGUUCUUUCUAGACAUCCCUAUCGUUUCCUUUCCUUUGUAUCUUCAGAAUCCAUCGCAAUUGAUUUUACAGAGAGCAAUUCAUCUUUGGCUCACCACUGAAGAAAUUUGUAGCACCUGAUUUGUGUAGCAUGAUUUAUUUUUUCAGCGACUUUCAAGUGAGAUCCCCGUCCAUCUUUCAGACAUCUACUAGAAUCAAAUUCAGAGAAUCCCUUCUCAAGAAUAGAAGAUUUGUCUUCA